ACGUUGAAACUUAUUAUUAUUCAUAAUUCAUCACAUUAAUCGGAGAAAAUACAUGUCAAAUUAAUAUAGACAACAAAUUGCAUGUAUAUAUAAUUAAUAUACACAAGAAAUUACAUGAUUUAAGCACAAAUAUUCUUCAACACAGUUUUGGCUGGCGCAGGCACCACCGGAACGUCCAACGAACAAGCUAACCAACGGCGCCGCGUUUAUUCCGAUUUCCG
rnacentral:lncRNA from 1 species